rnacentral:rRNA from 1 species
UACGUAGGGUGCGAGCGUUGUCCGGAAUUAUUGGGCGUAAAGAGCUCGUAGGCGGUUUGUUGCGUCGGCUGUGAAAACUUCACGCUUAACGUGGAGCCUGCAGUCGAUACGGGCAGACUUGAGUUCGGCAGGGGGAGACUGGAAUUCCUGGUGUAGCGGUGAAAUGCGCAGAUAUCAGGAGGAACACCGGUGGCGAAGGCGGGUCUCUGGGCCGAUACUGACGCUGAGGAGCGAAAGUGUGGGGAGCGAACAGG